rnacentral:lncRNA from 1 species
AUCUUCCCAGAAUCCUCUCCCUUCCCUACAUGGUCAAUAUUCAGUUCUAAUGCUGCAACGGCCGCUAUCACCGUGUACUGUCUCCUAUUGAGAUAAGGAAGCCAGGAACAUACUCACCACAGUGGCCACUCGGAGUCUUCGGAGCCUACCCGGAUACACGAAAGGACGAGUCGAUCGGGAGGUGUUUAACUUUUUCUAACCAAAAAGCCAUAAGGCUUGUCCCUGGAUGGAAGUUCAAGAGGAUGGUGACCAGAAGGCCCACAGGGAAUGUUGAAGAGUUAUAUUGGCUACAAAUGAAAGAUUGCGCAUGGGGAGUCAACAUUCGGUUUUCUGAAGGAAUAUGAUCAAGUGGAAGGUGUCGCAUGCCACGUCUGCAAAAGAUUUGUCAAUGGCCGUUGUUUGGAGAGUAAGGAUAGCUGUGUGAAGGAAGUACCAUCU